rnacentral:rRNA from 1 species
ACAAGCGGUGGAUGAUGUGGAUUAAUUCGAUGCAACGCGAAAACCUUACCUACCCUUGACAUGUCUGGAACCUUGCUGAGAGGCGAGGGUGCCUUCGGGAGCCAGAACACAGGUGCUGCAUUGGCUGUCGUCAGCUCGUGUCGUGAGAUGUUGGGUUAAGUCCCGCAACGAGCGCAACCCUUGUCAUUAGUUGCCAUCAUUUAGUUGGGCACUCUAAUGAGACUGCCGGUGACAAACCGGAGGAAGGUGGGGAUGACGUCAAGUCCUCAUGGCCCUUAUGGGUAGGGCUUCACACGUCAUACAAUGGUCGGUACAGAGGGUUGCCAAGCCGCGAGGUGGAGCCAAUCCCUUAAAGCCGAUCGUAGUCCGGAUCGUAGUCUGCAACUCGACUACGUGAAGUCGGAAUCGCUAGUAAUCGCAGAUCAGCAUGCUGCGGUGAAUACGUUCCCGGGUCUU